rnacentral:rRNA from 1 species
GAUGAACGCUAGCUACAGGCUUAACACAUGCAAGUCGAGGGGAAACGACAUUUAGUGCUUGCACCGAAUGGACGUCGACCGGCGCACGGGUGAGUAACGCGUAUCCAACCUACCCAUUACUGUGGGAUAACCUGCCGAAAGGCAGACUAAUACCGCAUAGUCUUCGAUGACGGCAUCAGAUUUGAAGUAAAGAUUUAUCGGUAAUGGAUGGGGAUGCGUCUGAUUAGCUUGUUGGCGGGGUAACGGCCCACCAAGGCAACGAUCAGUAGGGGUUCUGAGAGGAAGGUCCCCCACAUUGGAACUGAGACACGGUCCAAACUCCUACGGGAGGCAGCAGUGAGGAAUAUUGGUCAAUGGGCGCGAGCCUGAACCAGCCAAGUAGCGUGCAGGAUGACGGCCCUAUGGGUUGUAAACUGCUUUUGUAUGGGGAUAAAGUCAAUCACGUGUGAUUGUUUGCAGGUACCAUACGAAUAAGGACCGGCUAAUUCCGUGCCAGCAGCCGCGGUAAUACGGAAGGUCCGGGCGUUAUCCGGAUUUAUUGGGUUUAAAGGGAGCGUAGGCCGGAGAUUAAGUGUGUUGUGAAAUGUAGACGCUCAACGUCUGACUUGCAGCGCAUACUGGUUUCCUUGAGUACGCACAACGUUGGCGGAAUUCGUCGUGUAGCGGUGAAAUGCUUAGAUAUGACGAAGAACUCCGAUUGCGAAGGCAGCUGACGGGAGCGCAACUGACGCUUAAGCUCGAAGGUGCGGGUAUCGAACAGG